rnacentral:rRNA from 1 species
GGCUCAGGAUGAACGCUGGCGGCGUGCCUAACACAUGCAAGUCGAACGGAGUUACUUUGGUGAAGUUUUCGGAUGGAUCUGAUUUAACUUAGUGGCGGACGGGUGAGUAAUGCGUGAGCAACCUGCCCUUCAGAGGGGGACAACAGUUGGAAACGACUGCUAAUACCGCAUAAUGUAUCCGGGAGGCAUCUCCUGGAUACCAAAGGAGAAAUCCGCUGAUGGAUGGGCUCACGUCUGAUUAGCUAGUUGGUGAGGUAACGGCUCACCAAGGCUGCGAUCAGUAGCCGGACUGAGAGGUUGAACGGCCACAUUGGGACUGAGAUACGGCCCAGACUCCUACGGGAGGCAGCAGUGGGGAAUAUUGGGCAAUGGGCGAAAGCCUGACCCAGCAACGCCGCGUGAAGGAAGAAGGCCUUCGGGUUGUAAACUUCUUUUAAGAGGGACGAAGAAGUGACGGUACCUCUUGAAUAAGCCACGGCUAACUACGUGCCAGCAGCCGCGGUAAUACGUAGGUGGCGAGCGUUAUCCGGAUUUACUGGGUGUAAAGGGCGCGUAGGCGGGAAUGCAAGUCAGAUGUGAAAUCCAAGGGCUCAACCCUUGAACUGCAUUUGAAACUGUAUUUCUUGAGUGUCGGAGAGGUUGACGGAAUUCCUAGUGUAGCGGUGAAAUGCGUAGAUAUUAGGAGGAACACCAGUGGCGAAGGCGGUCAACUGGACGAUAACUGACGCUGAGGCGCGAAAGCGUGGGGAGCAAACAGGAUUAGAUACCCUGGUAGUCCACGCCGUA